rnacentral:lncRNA from 1 species
UUCAUUCAUUCAUUCGUUCUUUUUUUUUUCCCCCAGACAGAUAAGGAGCUCAGAGUCAGGCAGGGACGGAAUGGUGCUCAUUGAUUCCAAAGCAUCUUUGAUCUGCCAGACAGAGGGGCCUUUGCUGCUGGUCUUUCUUGGACCAUUCCAGAGAGGGGCACGAGCCCCCCACCCCCACUGCCCGUGGGCAUGCUCGCUUCUCUACAGUCCUUCCACACUGAGCCACCAGCAUCGUUUUGGAUGCAAAUCGGGUCCCAUGGCUCCUUCGCGAAGACUGCCCAUCACACUUCAAGUCUCGCCUGUGAAGGCUCCACAGGCCUUGGUCCCUGCUGACCUCUUCAACCCAUCUCAUCCCAUGUCCUCCCCCCCCGCCCCUCCCAUACGCUCCAGUGGCAAUGGCCUGCCUUCCGUCCACGCUGGCCAUGACUGGCCCACUCUGGUUCUCUGCUCCAGUGUCCUCUUCUCAGAGGGGCUCUUCCCGGCCUCCCCCCAGGGUGGAGGCUGCUCUCCAUUACAUCACCACGUGGCAUGCUGUCUUUACCAUGUCGCUAUCAUUGUGAUCAUUCUUCCUGCUUACUCUGGGCUCGGGUAUUACUGUCUCCCCCUUGCACCACUCCUGGCACUUAAUAAAUAGUAGUGUAAACUCGUAUAUCUCAGACUGAGUCAUAUGUACAAGACAUCAAAUCCAGUAAUACAUGGGUGCCAAUUAUUUCCAUGAGAUGAAAUCACCAACAGGGAUUGGGAAUUUCUGCAUUCAGAUUCAGGAGAUCCAUUGGGAGAACCUGCCUUCCUGGGAGAAAUAGCUAGAAGGUUGGCGGCCAGUGAGCUCAGUGAUAUGACCGCUGAAGAACUUUCUCAGGGGAAGAGGCUGAUACGCUUUUAUUAGGCUAAGCAAAGGGAGUGUAGUACCCAGAACAUUCUACAGUUGGCCUGUCAGGCCCCAUUCACAUCAUCUUGUUUUCGCGGGGUACCGAACUUUGGCAAGAGUCUAAAAACUGUGUUGUAGGGAGAACAGUGAGAGGUAGUAAGGCCAUCGUUCAGCAGAAAGAGCCAUCAGAUGACAGACAGCUCUCGGUGCCUCUAGAUGACAACAUAAAGAUCAGGGUUGGCUCCUAGCAGCAGGCCAAUUUCCAAGGAAAGAACUUUCUAAACCACAGAAGCUUCCUAAAAUGGAACUUACAGCUGCAAGUGACAAAAAAAAACAAAACAAAAACCAACUCAAACUGCUCAAGUUAAAAAAAAAAAAAAAGUGGGGGGAGGGGAGAAAGGGGGAUUUUUUUGGCUGAUAGAACUGAAAAGUCCAGGGAUAGAGUGUAGCAUCAGGCAUGCCUGGAUCCAGGGACUCAAAGGAUGUCUUCAGGACCCACCACUCGACGCUGAGCUCUGCUCUCCUUCAUGGUGCUCGUUUCUCAGGUUUCACCCCUAAGUGCAGCAGGCAGUGGUCACCAGCAGCUCGAGGGGGAUCUUCUCUCUUUUCCGCUACCCCAGGAGGCAGUACCCAAAGAAGUCCAGAUGUGAGAACGCACUGCACUGACUUGCCAUUCUCAUGUUCAUGCUGGAAUCACUGUGGCCCGCAGAGGACACACAGUGAUGGGCGGGGCCCAAGCCCCCUUCCUGGUUCCUAUCCAAUCCCU